rnacentral:rRNA from 1 species
UUGGAGGGCAAGUCUGGUGCCAGCAGCCGCGGUAAUUCCAGCUCCAAUAGCGUAUAUUAAAGUUGUUGCAGUUAAAAAGCUCGUAGUUGAACUUCGGGGUCUACCCAUUGGUCAGGCUUAAUUGUCUGCACUGGUGAGAUGGAUCUCUACCUUCUGAGGAACUUUCAUGCCAUUUAUUUAGUGAGAUUGGAAAUCAGGACUGUUACUUUGAAAAAAUUAGAGUGUUUAAAGCAGACUAUCGUCUGAAUACAUUAGCAUGGAAUAAUGAAAUAGGACGGACUGAUUCUAUUUCGUUGGUUUCUAGGAUCACCGUAAUGAUUAAUAGGGAUAGUUGGGGGCAUUAGUAUUCAAUUGUCAGAGGUGAAAUUCUUGGAUUUAUUGAAGACUAACUACUGCGAAAGCAUUUGCCAAGGAUGUUUUCAUUAAUCAAGAACGAAAGUUAGGGGAUCGAAGACGAUCAGAUACCGUCGUAGUCUUAACCAUAAACUAUGCCGACUAGGGAUCGGACGAAGUUAAUUUUAUAAUGACGCGUUCGGCGCCUUACGGGAAAC